rnacentral:rRNA from 1 species
AUUGAACGCUGGCGGCAGGCUUAACACAUGCAAGUCGAGCGGUAAGGCUCCUUCGGGAGUACACGAGCGGCGAACGGGUGAGUAACACGUGAGCAAUCUGCCCAUCACUUUGGGAUAACUCCGGGAAACCGGUGCUAAUACCGAAUACGACCACUUCAGGCAUCUGACGGUGGUGGAAAGUUCCGGCGGUGAUGGAUGAGCUCGCGGCCUAUCAGCUUGUUGGUGGGGUAAUGGCCUACCAAGGCUUCGACGGGUAGCCGGCCUGAGAGGGUAACCGGCCCCACUGGGACUGAGACACGGCCCAGACUCCUACGGGAGGUAGCAGUGGGGAAUAUUGGACAAUGGGCGAAAGCCUGAUCCAGCAACGCCGCGUGAGGGAUGACGGCCUUCGGGUUGUAAACCUCUUUCAGCGCCGACGAAGCGAAAGUGACGGUAGGCGCAGAAGAAGCACCGGCCAACUACGUGCCAGCAGCCGCGGUAACAC